rnacentral:rRNA from 1 species
UCCCAGACUCCUACGGGAGGCAGCAGUGGGGGAUAUUGCACAAUGGGGGGAACCCUGAUGCAGCGACGCCGCGUGAGCGAUGAAGUAUUUCGGUAUGUAAAGCUCUAUCAGCAGGGAAGAAAAUGACGGUACCUGACUAAGAAGCCCCGGCUAACUACGUGCCAGCAGCCGCGGUAAUACGUAGGGGGCAAGCGUUAUCCGGAUUUACUGGGUGUAAAGGGAGCGUAGACGGCGGCGCAAGCCAGAUGUGAAAGCCCGGGGCCCAACCCCGGGACUGCUCUUGGAACUGCGCGGCUGGAGUGCAGGAGGGGGAGGCGGAAUUCCUGGUGUAGCGGUGAAAUGCGUAGAUAUCAGGAGGAACACCGGUGGCGAAGGCGGCCUGCUGGACUGCGACUGACGUUGAGGCCCGAAAGCGUGGGGAGCAAACAGGAUUAGAUACCCGCGUAC